CGACAUCCCCAACCCACUAUUUCGCCUAAGACCCAAAUUCAAUCCCAAACUCUCUAAAUUCCCAGCCAAAUCAGCCCACUCCAAAUACCUCCAACCCGGCUCAUUUUCUGUUCAACAAAGAGAAAUCCAAAAACGUUAACAGCAGCAGCGGCGUGGACGACACCCUCGACCCUGCAUAAAAUCGUCCUUGUGGCUGGGAGAUGAAGCCACGUCGCACCCGAGGACGAUGGAAUUCAUCCAACCCGUCCGUUCUUCUUUCCUCUUCCGGAAUGGAGUUAAUUCUCAAAAAAAGUUGUCUAUCCUAAAUUGGUGAAAGCUUUGAGAAUUCAAAAUUGAGAUGGGUCUCUUCUCAUCCGUUUCCCCCCUUUUUCUUUUGGGAGAAUCCUAUUUCACCUUCUAUAUAUUAUUGUUCUCCACUGUUAAGAAGGGGGAUUUUUUUUGAAAGCUUAAAAGUUUUCGGCAAAAGAUUUUAUAGAGGAAAGAAAGUUGCUAACCUAAAACGUUCAUAUAAGAAAAUACAUUCUGAAUAUAUACUUGAUUUCUUUGUUCGUGGUUUGCUGGGAAUUUGCCGGUUUCUUUGAAGUUAUUCCUUGAAGUUGGUGGAAAAGUCACGUUCUCCAAGCUCGUCAGCCUUUCUUGUUCGCCGCACCUUAAAAGCUAUGUGUUGGUUUGCUUCAGCGACCAAUGUGGAUGGACCUUAAAAUAAUCUUGCAGAAAAAAAUCUGAUGUAUUCAAAGUGAGAUAUUUCAACAGUGAACAUACAUGUCCGAUGCGGGAUAGGAUACCAACAAAAGUACAAGCAACAAUUGGAUUUAUUAGUGGUGUGACUGCCCCUAAAUUGGUAAAUCAUAAAAGAAUCCAUACACUUCGAGAUGUAAUUGAAGAUAUUAGAGAAUUGUAUGGGGUUGAGGUAUCGUACCAACAAGCAUGGCGUGCUAGAGAACGUGCACUAGAAAUGCUCAAGGGUAAGCCAUCCGAAGGAUAUAAACAGAUGCCGAGAUACAUAUGGAUGCUAAAUAAAGUGUAUCCAAAUUCAUAUAUAAGGAUGCAAAAGACGGAAGAUAAUAAAUUCAUGUAUCUGUUCAUAGCAGUAAGACCGUUGAUAAGAGGGUUUGACUACUGCAGGCUGUAGUUGUAGUUGACGCUGCACAUCUUGGCGGGGCAUACAAGGAUACUUUUGUAUCAGCAAGCACACUCGAUGGUGCAGGUUGUUCCAUCAUUUGAAUAUAUUUUCACAGUUCAUGAAGCCAGAAAAAGAUACAUUGUAUGCCUUGAGAGGAAAACUUGCACAUGUGGAAGGUUUCAACAUGAUGAGGUACCUUGCGUACACGCAAUUGCAGCUUUGAAGCACAAGAAUGUUAACAAUUUGCACCCAUAUUGCUCUGAUUACUACAAGUCGUAUGCAUUAGAAAAAACGUACGAGGUUGUAAUGGUUCCAAUGCCAGAUAAGGAGGAUUGAAACGUUCCAGAAUAUGUUUUAGAUGAAAUUGUUCGGCCACCUAAGUAUAGAAGGUUGGCUGGACGACCAAGAAAGUGAAGAAAGAAAAAUGCGGAUGAGAAAAUAAUAGUGAACAAUAAUUGUUGUGGGCAGUGUGGACAAGAAGGACAUAACAUGAGAACUUGUACUUUCUUCCCGAAAGAGAAUUGAAAGAAUGUUUUAAAGAAGGACAUUAGUGUUCAUGGUACUUAUAUCCAUUUUUUCUUUAGAAUUUGGACUAAAUAAAGUGUAUUGGUUACACAACUUAAUUUGAUGUUCAAAUAUAUGACUUUGCAGUUUAAUUAUGUGCCAAAUUUAAAUUCCAAAUUUUAUAAAUAAAUAGAUUCAA